CUCACAGCGUUUUCGUAAGCUUCGUUGGUUUCAACAGCAGCUCUAGUUGCACUGAUGCCCAUUUUGUACCAAUAAAGCAUCAGGUGACGAAUUGGCUGAUAGCGGCCGACCGGAUUUUGACCCGCCCUCUAGAAAAAAUGAGUUGCGGAAGAAUUCCGCUCAUAAUUUUUUUCAACUCCCAGGACAUGUGGAAUUUUCAUUGAGUGGUCAGAUGACCAUUACCUCUUUCGUCGGGGUCACCACGAGCAAAAAAUCAAAAUGGCUAAAAUUUUGAUUUUUAAUGGGUCGAAUUCCAGAGGCUGGCUAGCACUUCCGGUAGCCAAAGUUGGAAAAAAUUUAUUUUUGAAUUAAAGCCUGGUUAUCAAAGAAUAAAUCGAGGUCAUACAUGA